CCCAGCCUCAGUGCUUAGAGGAUGUUUUUCUUUAUCCUUUAAUUUCAGCCACAUCAGAGCUCAAGACUGGCUCCAACUCAUUGUGAUAUGCUGUUUCCCCUGCCUGUACUGGAGCCUGUUUAACCAAAAGAGGGGCAGACUCUCAGGGUUAAUGUAAAAACAGCUCACCCUGGUCAGAGAAAGUGCUCUGUUGUCAGUGCCCAUUGCCCUGCUGAUGUAACUUUCCUUCCCUGGCACCCCUCUGCAUUUCCAGUGUGGGGCCCGGUACAGGUGGAGUGUACCCCUGACUCCUGCCAUCGGUGUUGGGCUUGGCCCUGUUGCUGGUUAAGACCAAGAAAAUGUGGGAAGAAAUGACAGUGUGCAGAUUCCAAGCUGAAGCAUCGUGUGUUUCUCUCCCCCAUGGGACUCUUCUGUUAGAUGAGCACGCCCUGGGUAGCUGCAGCCCCGUUAGCCUGGACCCAGAAGUGGCCCAGGGCCCUCCCAGCUGACCUGUGGCCUAGGAGUGAGGGAGAAUGGCAUGUUGUUGCACCCAUUGAACUUCGGGGCUGCUUGUUAGACAGCGACAGCUGACGGGUGGAAGCAGAAGAGAGAUCCACGAGGGAAAGUCAAUAAGCAUGUCCUUGGGUGACGAUUGAAAAAAGAGGAAAAAGAAAGCUGUCCCAGCCUCAGGGAUUGAGAACAGGAGACUUCAGCAAUCAAACCUUCGCAAAAGACUGCAGUGGGGCUCCUGGAAGCUUGAGGACCAGGCCACCUGAUUUCAUCUAGAGGCACCGUAUCAAGGGACACAUGAGCUGACUGGCAUUCCUGCUGACAGCCAGGGCCGUCCAUCAGCAUGCUUUCAUUACUUCAGAGGGUCUGGUCUUGAGACGCUAAUUUACCGAAUGAACUCUUCUCAAUCCCCGCUGUGUCCCCUGCUUCGUGACCAGCUGGCCUGAUCUGUGGCACUGUUGUGACUUAGGCCUUGGUCCCUAUCGACUGCUGCUCUCAAGCCCCCCUUGCUCCCAAACUCUAGCCCCGUGCAGCCCUACACCCACCAUGGCAAAAGAGCAGCAAGACCCUUCCAUCCCAGGGAGGGACCCUCCCCUCCCCACAUGGCACCCCAAAAGGUAUCCAUGUCCCGAUUCCUGGAACCUGUGAACCUGAAACCUGGAAGCUGAAGCUCACAUGGCAAAACAGGACUUUGCAGAUGUGAUUAAGGAUCUUGAGAUGGGGAGAUGGUCCUGGAUGAUCUGGGAGGACCUUAAAUUCAGUCACCCGUAUCUUUAUGAGAAGGGGCGGUACGAAGAUGGAGGCAGAGGUUGGAGCUGUGGCCACAGCCAGGACACCAGGCGUCCCAGAAGCUGAAGAGGCAGAAAGGACCCUCCCACAGAGCGUGCGGCCCUGGAACACCUGGAUUUCAGUUCAGCGAGAUGGAUUUUGGACUCUGUCCUCUAAAACUGUUAGAGAAUAAGUUUUAUUUAUAAGCCACCAAGUUUGUGACUACAAAUGGGAAAGUCAAGGAUUCUAGGAACGACUGGACCCAAGGCCUGUGGUGAACCCUCACAGAUACUGCCUACCAGUGUCUUUGUGACUCGAGACACCUGCGCCUGGAACACGGGCUCUCUUCCUCAAGGUGCACUACUGCCUCGCUGGCAACCGAGG